CUUCUACACUCCACAACUGUGAGAAAUACAUUUCUGUUGUUUAUGCUAUCCAGUCUGCGGUACUGUAUUUUGUAAUGGCGGCCCUAGCUAUGCCAAAUACCACCUUGGCAGCUGCUCAGAGGGUCCAAACUAACACAAGUGGUACCAAGAGAGGUCCAAAAACAAAAAAACAAAAACAAAAGAAAGCUAGAAAAUAAAAUGAAGUUUCAGGACUGGCUCACUCACUAUCUGGUGGGCAAAGACAAUAUUAUCGUGAGUAGUGUACGGACAUGGAUAGUUCCCAGCACAAGGUGGUGACCAGGUGCUAAAGAUUUCAUCAGUGGUGGCCUGGGAAAACAUCCCAGUGGAGGAGAAGGAAAAGAAUAUAAUUUCAGGCAUUUGAAAUGUAUGGGGGUCGGGGAGGGCAAUGCCUACAAGGACAAUGGAGUUGGCCGGUUACUGCUAAGUUGUAUAGACACUCAGGCGGGAUAACGAAAAAGCAAAGGUCCCCCUUGAUUAAUAGCCAAGUAUGAGAGACAAGAGGACGUCUUUAGUAACUUACAAAAAGGCUUUUAUCUCUAUAGUGGAAGACCUGACACAGUUAUGCCACAAACUUGGGACAUGAUAGAGGCACAGAGCCCCAAAGACAUUUAAAUAUGUAGCCAAAGCUAGUCAGGGCCCUGGCUGAAAAUGCCUGAACGCCUGAAACAAGGGAUGGGACAUCUGGAUGCACAACUGUAAGGAUCUUAGCUCUGUAGGCCCUCGUGAACUUUGAAAGCUUGCAGAGAUAGUCUACCUCUUCGUAAUAAAACUAGUACUUCCUCCAUGCUCAAAGACACUGCAGAGCCACUCCUUCUCUACUGGCUACUAUGCUAAUAAAUGGAAUCAAAUCCUAGCAUAACCAAGCUGAAAACAUGCCUGACCUAAUAAAGGAGGAAAGAGAUCCCAUACAAAGGAGCUGUAAAAAUUAGCAUAUACAAACAAGUCAGAGGAGUUUUGAGGUUGCUUGAUCAUGGGGGCUGGAAUAUUAGACUAGAUAAUCAAGAAUUCAUUGACAGCACUUUCUUCUCGGGAUUUAACACUGCAUGGACUCUUACGGAGGAUGUAACAAACUCAUGGGAGGGAUGGGCGGGGGAAUCUCUUAGAAACCUAGAGAAAGUGAUGGCCAAUGCUGAGCAAAGUAGAAAUGUCUCAGUUGCCCGGGCACAUGGUAGAAGAAUGAAUUAAAAGACUGGGGGAAGUGGGCAUGCUGGAAUGGAUAUGUGUGAAGCCAGAAGACCCAUCAGAGGAUUCUGUUUCACAGGAGGGCCCAGAAGAUACACCAUUCACCAAGGCCAUCAGAAAUCCUCUGGUAAGGGACACCACCACCAAGAAGUUCUCUGCGUUCCUGAGCUAACAACAGCAGUCACAGAGUUAGGACCCAUUAAUGAUUAUGGGAAAAAUAUUCCCCUUCCCCAAGUAAUAGAGGCCAGAUAGUGGCACUUAGUCACUAGAAGCCAGGAGGCCACAAUUAAAAAGACCAACAACAUUUGACAAGUGGCAGCCAAGAGGGCUUGACUCACAGGGAGUUGUGGAGAUGGAUGUAGAGCUUGGUAUCUCUAGGGGCAAAAUAGGUGGGAAUCCUAUUAACAUCUACAACCCAAAAAAGGCCAAAACGGAGGAGCAGGAGACUGAGGAUGGUUUCAUCCAGAAAGUCAUCGUCCCUUGUUCAGUAUCCCGAUCUGAGCCACUUUUCAGAUCUGAAACUUGUUGACUUAAGGGGCGGCAGGUCCUGCGGCACUGCAGCAAAUGUAAGUGUUAUGAUUCCCCAGUCCUUUGCUAAAGAUACCUAUGGCCAUUUACUUCAGUGAUUGUACACAGUGGGAAAGAGGAAUAACCAGAAAUUUAAGAACUAUUGGACUCAGUCAACUCAGACAUCAAUAUCCUGAGACCCAAAGCAUUGUCAUAGCCUCUUGUUAGAGUGGAGGCAAAUGGGGACUGGGUAAUAAUUGGAGUUCUGACUAAAGUCUAGUUAGGGUAGGUCCAUUGUGUCUGUGAACCCACCCAGUGGUCAUUUCUUCAGUUCUUGAGUCUGUAAUUGGAGUUGAUACACUUAGCAGCUGCAGUUAUACCAACAUUUAAAUGCUUGACCUGUGUGAAGAGCUAUCAUAGUGGAGAAGGCCAAGUGGAAACACCUGAAAAUGACCUUCCAGACCUGGCUAACAUAGUAAAUUAAAAAAUAAACAAAUGAAAAUAUCACAUACCAGGGGGCAUGGUGGAAAUUAGUGCCACCAUUAAAGACCUAAGAAAUGUGGGAGGAUGGUCCCUAUCAUAUCUCCAUUUAAUUAGCCAGUCAGGCCCCUGCAGAAACUAGAUGGGUCCUGGAGAAUGACUCUAGACCACCAUAGCAAGUCACAGCCCCAAUAGCACCUGCUGUGCUUUAUAUAGUCUUACUGCUAGUGCAGAUUAAUAAGGCAUCAGGACAUGACGUGUGGCCAGUGGUUUGUUGAACAAAUUAUUUUCCAUUUUGAUUAGGAAAGAUCGUGUGGGACAGAUAACCAUUUACAGUUUUGCCUCAAGGAUAGAUUAACUCUGCCCUCUGUCGUAAUAAGGUCCAAAGAAAUCUGAACCUCCUAAACAUCUCAUAGAGUAGCACACCGACCCAUUGCAUCAAUGAUAUGCCGGUCAGACUGUACAAGUGGAGUGGCUAGUAUGCUGGAGGCAUUGGUAAGACUAAUGCUCCAGAGAAUAGAAGAAAAAUGCUAUAAAGAUUCAAGGACUUGCCACUUCAGUGAGGUUUUCAGAGUGUACCAUUAUAUCUUUCCAAAGUGAAAGUCUUGCAUCCCUUACCACAAAGAAGAAUGCACAGGGCUUGGUAUGUCUCUUUAGGUUCUGGAGCAACAUAUACCACACUUAGGAAUACUGCUCCAGCCCAUUUACCAGGUGACAUUGAAGAUUUCCAGCUUUGGGGCCCAGAGCAGGUGAAAGGCUCUUCAGAAGUCCAGGCUACAGUACAGACAUCUUUGUCACUUUGGCCAUAUAUUCCAGUAAAAUCUUGUAUUGGAGGUAUCAGACUAGGGAAAGAAGCAGUUUGGAGCUUGUGAUGGUUAAUUUUAUGUCAACUUGGCUGGGCUAUGGGGUAGUCCAGUAUUUGGCCAAACAUUAUUCUGCGUGUGUCUGUGGGUGUGUUUCCAGAUGAAGUUAACAUUGGAUUGGUAGAAUGAGUAAAGCAGAUUGCCAUCCCUAAUGUAAGUGGGCCUCAUUCAAUCAGUUGAAGACCUGAGUAGAACUAAAAGAUUGAGUAGAAGGGAACUCCUGCUUGAUUGCAUAGCUAGGAUGUUGGUCUUUUCCAGCCUUUAGGCUUGGUCUGAAACAUCAGCUCUUCUUGGAUCUCGAACCCGCCAACUUUCAGACUGGAAAUCACGCCAUUGGCUUUCCUUGUUCUCAGGCCGUUGGCUUCAGACUGGGAACUACACAUCAGCUCUCCUGGGUCUCCAGCUUGAUGACUGCAGAUCUUGGGACUUCUUGGCCUCCAUACUCAUAUCCCUGGCUAAUACAGAUCUUGACACCAGCCGUGGAAUGUAGCUGUAACAAAUAACUAAAAAUGUGGAAGCUGCUUCGGAACUGGAUAAUGAGUGGAGUUGGAAAAGUUUUAAAGUGCAUGCUACAAAUAUGGACAUUAAGGACAAUUCUGCUGAGACGUCAGAUGGAAAUGAGGAGGACGUUAAUGGAAAUUGUGGGAAAAGUGACCCUUGUUAUAAAGUGGUGAAUAACUUGGC